GCGGGGCCAGCGGCGCGGGGCGCGCGAAGCGGCAGCUCUGACUCCGUCGACAGAGCCAUGGAGCGCUACGUGCUGGUCCUGGGCUGGGGGCAGCGUCCGGCGAAGGGGGGCGGCGGGACAGCUGGGACUGCUGCAAACAUUUAUCGGUUCCUGAAAGAAAGCUGUACAUCAUCUAUCAAUGCAGAUGUGAGCACAUUCCCAGCUUGUUCAGUGGCUGGUAGUCCAGGUGUAAGGAAAUGGUAUUUUGCAAGUCAUGUUAUAAGUGGUUGUAAUCAGUUCUGUAGUUCUGACUGGGAGGAAAUAAAUUUUGACACACGGGAAAAUGAAGACACUCUCCAAACAAGUAUUGACGAAUGCCUGGGAGCUAUACAAAAUUUUGAGGAAGAAGACAAUAACAGUAGAGAGUCACUGUCUAUGACUGAUAUCUACGAUGAAGCUGCAGAAAGUCUGCAUCAGUUAGCUGAUAAACUCCCUGCCCCAGGCAGAGCAAUGAUUGAUGUAAUACUGGAGGCCGUUGAACAAGAUGGACCCAAGCUGAAAGAGUGCUUACCUGCUGUUGGUGCCCUGAAACACCUGAGAGAAUGGCACUCUGCGCAAAUCACUAUUGCAGCAAAUGACUCUAAAGGUAGCUGGCAAAAGAUUGCAGACUAUCUGUCAGCAGACUUAGUAUCUUCAGAUAGUGUCAUGAAUAUUAUCGAUGUAAAAGAACUCUGGAGAGGAAAGAUUCAGAUAUGGGAAAGAAAGUUUGGAUCAGAACUUAGGUUUCCAGAAUUUUGUAUAAAGAGCACUUCAGCAAGGACAUUCAGCACUUCACAUUUAAGUUCUUGCUUUGCUGCUAAAAAAGAGCAACAACUGAGGAAUACUGAUGCUUUACCAGAGGUUUUUCAUUACUAUGGACCUGCACUAGAAUUUUUACAGAUGGUGGUACUCUCUGAUCUACCUUCCUUUUUUAUAUCAGAUUUGGAAUUUGAGUUAUGCCACUGUGUAUUUCAUCACAUAACAUUUCCAAGUGUAUCACUUUGCCUGGAAAGGAGCCUGGCAAGAAAGAGUGUCAAGGAGACAUCUGCACUGCUUUUGGACCAAAUUUCUUCUCUCUCCGGGAAGGUAGGAGCGUUAUUUACAUUGCCAUGUAAUGUAAGCAGCGUAGUGAUCCCAUCCCCUACUCAGCUGACUACCAAGAAAUGGAAGGAGUAUAUGGCCAGGAAACCCAGGGUCGUUACUGUUCCAGAAAUUGAACUGAAAGGAGAAUCUUGCCGAUAUUAUUUCUUGCUACAAGGCAAUGGAUCUGGAGGGUGUAAAGCAACCUUGAUUCAUUCAGCAAGCCAGAUCAAUGGUAUGGCUGCUCUUGCUUCAAUAAAUGGAAAAUUAAAAUCAAAAGCAGAAGAAACAGAGUCAAGCUUUCAUAUUGCUGGCUAUAUCAAGUCUCUACAGCAUUUUUGUGGAGAAGAGAUUCUACAGAGAGAAAAGAAACUGUCUCGUCUCCAAGUGUUUGUCUUGAGGGAAUAUCUCAAGAGAAAGGAAUUGACUGAGCAGCCUCCAGUUAUUUCUACUGAUGAGUUAAAAAACUUGUUAGAACUUACAAGAAAAACUAUUUUAGACCUGUUCAACACUAGUUUCCCUAAACCUGUUCUACAGAAGGUUGCCAAUAAAACUAGGUCAUGUGCUGUGAAUUCUGAGUCUGAAUUAGUGGAGGAAGAUCCAUUGGAGUGGCCAGAAAGACAUGUUCUUCAGAAUUUGGAAAACUUUGAAAAAAACAAACAAAAAAUAAGAGUUUCUAUGUUUGCACAUUCAUCUGAGCAGUUGCUAGGGCAUAAAGAUAGCCAACGGGAGUCAUUGACAUUGCUCGAUGCUAAAGAAUUGCUGAAAUAUUUCACACCAGAAGGGCUACCAGUUGGUGAUCUUCAGCCACUACAAAUUCCCAAACGUGAAAACGCAUUUCUUUUGACACCAGAGCUUACUCCUCGGAAACUCAGAGGUUUGCCAUUUGAAAAAGCAGCUGGAUGCUAUUAUCAUGGACUUGAAUAUUGCCUGGAUAAUAGAAGAGCCUUAGAGAGAGAUGUGGGAUAUGCUGAACUUCAAACUCGUCUUAUUCGCUAUGAAACUCAGACUACUUGCACCAAAGAGUGCUGCCCUGUGCCAGUUGUCUUGAGCCCUCUUCCGUCUCCCGCAGUUCUGUCAGAGCCUGGGAGUGUUCCUGAUGGAGAGGCUUUGCAAAAUGAGUUCAAAACAGAGGUAUCGAGGCUAAAACGCAGAUCAAAAGACUUGGACUGCUUUUAUCCCAAGAAAAGGCUAACCAAAUCUGAGAGUACAGAUUCUCUCCUCUCUCAGGCAAGUGGAAGUAGUGGGAGUCACUACACAGCUGCUGUAACAAGGAGGCGCUCUGAAAGAUCAGUUUCUUCAGCUUCGAUUCUAUUGAAACAGCCUGGUCAGCCCUACAAAGUAACCACUAAGGUCGGCUCAGGAAGUCACAUUAAUGCAACUGCCUCUGAGACUUCAAAGCCAGCUAAGGAAUCAAGAUCUCAGAAACAUACAAGGAUGCUGAAGGAGGUGGUUGCCAAGACUCUUCAAAACCAUGGGAUUGCAGAAGAUCACAAAUGCUUUGCGUCAUGCAGCCAGCGUCUAUUUGAGAUAUCAAAGUUCUACUUAAAGGAUCUUAAAACUUCUAGAGGACUUCUUGAUGAAAUGAAGAAAACAGCAAAUAACAAUGCUAAACAGGUGAUUGAAUGGGUUUUGGAGAAGACUGGCAAGUAGAGGAACUGAAUGGAUGCUCUCCACACACUCCUAGAAACUGUGGAGACAGAGCACUUGCAAUGUUAGGAAAAGCAUUGUAGUGCCUAACACAUGCACAUACAUAACCUGCAGGCUGGAAGGACUUUGGAUCUUGCAUUUAACUCUUCUGUUCUAAUGUGUAUUGUUCUGAACUCUACGAGACCUUUUAUAUGUGGGUGUGCGCUCGUGUUCACUGAACUCUGAGCAGCAGCAGGAAAGCUAUGAGCUGCUUUACCGUGACAGUGCCAUCCUGCAGCCGGAUUACACUUGUGUGUAAAAUUCACAUUCAUAGUGUCCAGCUUAAUAACUUACAGAGUCUUGCUGAUCUGGUGAAAGAGGAAACACAGUGAAGGUGGAUAAUUAAGUAAUUAUUAAGUGCAUGCAUAAAAUUGCUCCAAGGUAUUAAGUGCUGUGCAUGGCUCACGUUUCUUUGCAUUCAAGACAGACAUUGUCUUUAAAAUAAUUUAACAUUUACACUUCUAAUGAGUUAAGUUUAAAAUACUUGGCCCAUAAAACAAGUUAAUCCAGAUAUUAAUCUUCCUUAACAUCCAAUAUUGAAUACUACAAAAAAGAGAGGUUAUUAUCUUCAGCCUGAAUGCUGAUACUAUUAUCCAAAUACUGAAGCAAGCCGCUGAAAAUGGCAUUUUUUACUUAAUUUGGAUUUUUUUUGGUACUUGUAUUUACAAAAAAAAAAAAAAAGUGUAGUUAAUAAAUUACACACAAGCUGAUAAGCUAAAGUACAGCAUCUACAUUUCAUAAAAUACUUGAGGCUAGCUGCCAUGAACAAAGAAAAUCCCUUUCAGGAAAGUAAUUAAUGCUGUUUAACUGGGUUUCUUGAUCUGUGUGUAUCUGUAAAGGGCUUCCACAAAAAGGCACUUUUAAAAAAUAUUUUUUAUUGUUUCUCAUUCCUCUGUCUGGUGUCUGUAGUGGGCCCUGGUGGCCUUAGAUGCCAACUACCUUACUUCAUGAGCAAUUAGAGCCCAAUGGUUAUUGUUUUAAUUAAUUCUGUAGACUCAAAGGCUGGCCUGAAAUAAUCAGCAGGAAAUCAGUUAGGGAAGCAUAAGCAUUUUGAUCUAUUGUUUGUUUGCAUCAUUCCCAGCACAGAACAUCAUUCCCAUUGCUGUCUCAUUUGCACUUUGUUACUAUGUUUGCUCUAUAGAGUAAGUUAUAGCUAGUUUAUUAUCAUGGCUUAGUAAUGCUGUGCCCCAUUUCAGUUCUGAUAAUUGUCCAUAUGCAUCCUCUUAACCUAAUAAAACACGUAAAAUAAUUUGACCUAAUCUAUAGUAACAGCACUAAACCAGAUUGCCUGAACAUCUGUCGUAGUUCAAAAAUACCACACUAGGAGUUCCCACAGCUCAGCAAAAGUGUAGUAACUUACGUGACACACAAGGUAACUCUGCUUCUGAACUUCAAAUUUUUUCUUGCUUGUGGACGAUGAACCCUCAAUGCGGUCUGCCCUGUGCAUACCUUACUGUAGAAGGUUUGUGUGCUUGCUUUCAUGCUUUUGCUUAGAAGUAAUAUUCACCAAUAUAUGUGUAUGGUCUACACAGAAUCCAUGGCAUGUGCUUACACAGGACUGGUGUAAGACAACACUGAUGUGGUCAUGAUUACUUGGUGAUAUGAUUGCUUCUACCAUUACAGCAAUUGCGUGAGUAAUUCUCUGGGCUACCACAGAACUUGGUACAGAUACUUCUCUAAAUUCAGACUCUCCAGUUCUCCCCUGGGAGCUGUUUUCUAAUGCCUCAAAUUAUUUACGCAAGCACGGAAAUUCUAAUGCAUGAAGCAAACUGAAAAGCUAAUCCUAUGUGGAAAAAAAGUAGCUGAUAUGUUCACAAGAGGCUGUAGUCUUUGUUAUUUAAAUAUUUAAUGUUUUUUCCCUUAAGCUUUUAAAUUAAACUUUUGCCCUGGUUAAUGUUGGGGUUCACUUUCAUUAAUCAGGCUGGCAGUUUCUUGACAUUUUGCUAUAUAAUUAAUAUUACUCUUUAAAAUCAUAAAGUCACUAUUAAAUUAAAAAGUUUCCAUUUUAGAUGCAAUUCCCAAUUACUUAAUAAUAAUAGUGUAUGUAGUGUGUAUAUAUAUAGUAAUAUAGGUAAACGGUAUACUGCAGUAAUAGUGUGUGUGUGUGUGUACAUAUAUAUAGUAAGUACCCGCAGUAAACAGCUGCCAGUAAAAACCUGCCAGUUUGACUCAGGAAACAGAGACAAACUCGCAGAUCAGUGACAGUAGAACAAUCCGGAGUGUGUUUGUUUAGGCUCUAUUUCCACUGAAAUCAAAGAAGCUCCAAUUAACUUUUAAACAAG